GCGGAGGUGGCGGCUUGGGGAGUUCACGGCGAGGUCGCCGGCGGCCACGCAUCGGCGUGGGGGGAAGGUGGCGCUCCAACUCCCGGUCGGGAGGCAUGAACGCGGUCGCCGCCGGCGUGCUGACAGAGGAGGAGGAGGAGGAGCCUCCCGAAUUCGUAUCCCCAAUCUAUAACGGGAAAUGGUGAGAUAUGCCACAGUAAUUAGAACGAUCCGGCAGAAUCUGCAGUCUAGCAGCAUGAUUCCCCACCCCCCACCACCUGUUACAGCAUGCCUAUGGAAUGUAAAAUGAACUCCUAUUUAUUAUCAGUGCAAUCUGGAAUGACAAGUAAGUUGGCUAUGGGAUCAUAACUAUAGUUGCGUUGCAGCAACUCCGGUUCAUACUCACAGCUACAAAAGUGACACCAGAAGAAACUGGUAUUCAUACUUGGGCAGCGACGGUGAGUUCCCACAACAGCGCUUGCUGUCCAGCAAGUGCCUAAUUGGCUGAGUGAUAGAUAAGCCGUCGGAGAAUAAACAAAGCAAUCAGGAUAUGAUUUUUGUACUGCAAUCCUUAAUUGGUACAUAAUCCAAAGGAUGAGGGGAGCGGGUUGUGUAUAGUCUUUGACCUUUUUCCGUGCUGCCUCUGUGAAGCCCUCGGCCUUGAUAUGUGCCGGCACCGACCGGACCAACCUAUAUCUGUGCUCUCCACUGCCUGCGCCACUGUGGGGGGAUUGAUCUACGCCGCAUAAGCUAUUAGAGACUAAUAUGGUAACAUUAGCUGUAUCCGUUGUGGUGAUUUACUCAAAUAGCACGGAUGAGGUGCUGAGGAUUUGAAGAUUUCCUUAUGUGAUUCUUGAUGUUUGCAGGCGAGAGAAGUUUCUUCGUACUUGUAACCAUGUUUGGAAAAGAUCGGAUUGCCUCCAAAGCCAUCCAUGCGAGGUGCUAGCUGGGUGGUGGAUGCAACCCACUUCCAGGGUUGCUCUGUUCAAUUCUCCUUAUUCACCAGGAUGCAUCAUUACCAAAGAUGUGGAGGUUUGUUCUGCAGCAACUGUACCCAGGAGAUGACAGUUUUACGCAGACAGGGUGAUUCACCUGUUUGAAUUUUUUAUCCUUGUGAAAAACUUCAAGAAGCAGCACACUACGAGCUGAGAUACAGACACAAAAAUAGAGCUUCAGAAGGUGAAAUUUUCUUUUGCCUAUAGUUUCUGUUAGUUAUAUCUUCUAAUGAAUGCAAUGAUGAUUUUGAUAAGUGGUACUUCUAAUCCGCUUGCAUAUAAAUGAAUUAUUUCUAAACAAAUAAUCUAUUUAAUGUGCUUGAUGGUUAAUUAAAUGUGAUUGUCAGCAUGGCACACAACAGCUUAUGAAUUUUCCAUGUUUCCAUUUUAUAGCACAGUUGAGCACUUGUGCACAAAUUGUACCUUAGCUGCAGGGCUGAACUAUGCAACAUCCGUUUCUCCCUUUUAUAUUUUGGCCAUGCUUUAUGUGAAGUAUAUCCAUAUUGUGAAGAACAGAGGAGACAGUAGACACUAUAUCUUAAGGUGCUUCCUACUUCCUACUGAUAAAGAAUUAAGCACUUUGACAAUAUGUGUUUAAUCAAAUGGAAUCUAUUCGCUACAACUAGAAAUUUCAAGUGCUAGAGUUCCUAACUGGUUUUGGUUUGUUGUUCUGAAUAGUGCUAUUUACUGUACAUUAUACAUAGUAUCGUAGCGUCCAGCCUCCGAAGAGAGCUGAGGCAUGGCCAAAUGCGGUAGCUACAAGCAAGCCUCAGAAUGAGGGUCUGGAGGUCCUUCGAUCAGCAAAGCGGCUGGAGAAGUUGGCAUCACUUGGCUAAUAAACAAUAAUACUAUAUCUGUUUCAUAAUUUAAAACUUUCUAACAUUAUUUAGAUUUAUAUGGAUACUUAAUAUAUCUAGGCAUAUACAUGGAUCAAUAGAUAAAUCUAAAUAUAGCUAAAAAUACUAACAAUAUAGAACGGAUGGAGUAUGUCUGAAUGCUCGCCUUCAUAAACUUUUAGAAGAUUAUGAAGACUUGAAGCGCAAGCAGCUGGGGAAAGCUUAUGACUUACUGGCACACAAAACUUCAAGGUCAUUUUCCGUAUGUAAAAAGAAAAAGAAAUGCUGAUUACUAAUGAAUGGUUCUUUUCACGGACAGGAGUGGUGUGAUAUGUACUGAAAUUGUAUCUUCUGAGCAUCAGUUGGUUCACUUGCCAGUUGAUUUGGUUUGGUGCAUUAUCUUGAAUUCUUUAUGUCUAACUGCUGAUUCUGUCUUGGGAUCAAGAGGAUAGGUAUAAUUGGAUACUGAAGAUCCGAGUAAUUUUUCCUGUAAGCUCUCCAUUUGUAUUACUGACAUUGUAUAUUUGUCGACUCAUCUUAUUGACUGCUGAUGUGCCUUCUCCAGUCAAAAAGAGAAGAAAAAUAUCCUUUUAAUUUAUUUAAUUUUAAAACUAACCCACUUCUAAAAAUAUUUCCAGAUAUAAACAUUU